rnacentral:rRNA from 1 species
GACGAACGCUGGCGGCGUGCUUAACACAUGCAAGUCGAACGCUGAAGCUCAGCUUGCUGGGUGGAUGAGUGGCGAACGGGUGAGUAACACGUGAGUAACCUGCCCUCUUCUUUGGGAUAACGCCCGGAAACGGGUGCUCAUACUGGAUAUUCACUGAUUCUCGCAUGGGGGUUGGUGGAAAGGUUUUUUCUGGUGGGGGAUGGGCUCGCGGCCUAUCAGCUUGUUGGUGGGGUGAUGGCCUACCAAGGCUUUGACGGGUAGCCGGCCUGGGAGGGUGACCGGUCACAUUGGGACGGAGAUACGGCCCAGACUCCUACGGGAGGCAGCAGUGGGGAAGAUUGCACAAUGGGCGAAAGCCUGAUGCAGCGACGCCGCGUGAGGGAGGGAGGCCUUCGGGUUGUAAACCUCUUUCGCUCAUGGUCAAGCCGCAGCUUUGGGUUGUGGUGAGGGUAGUGGGUAAAGAAGCGCCGGCUAACUACGUG